rnacentral:rRNA from 1 species
CAGGAUGAACGCUAGCUACAGGCUUAACACAUGCAAGUCGAGGGGCAGCAUGAUCUAGCUGCUAAGAUGAUGGCGACCGGCGCACGGGUGAGUAACGCGUAUCCAACCUUCCCUAUAGUAGGGGAUAGCCCGGCGAAAGUCGGAUUAAUACCCUAUGUUCUUCAUAGAUGACAUCUGAAAUGAAGCAAAGGUUUACCGCUAUAGGAUGGGGAUGCGUCUGAUUAGCUUGUUGGCGGGUAACGGCCCACCAAGGCGACGAUCAGUAGGGGUUCUGAGAGGAAGGUCCCCCACAUUGGAACUGAGACACGGUCCAAACUCCUACGGGAGGCAGCAGUGAGGAAUAUUGGUCAAUGGGACGCGAGCCUGAACCAGCCAAGUAGCGUGCAGGAUGACGGCCCUAUGGGUUGUAAACUGCUUUUGUGCGGGAAUAAAGUCAGGGACGUGUCCCUGUUUGCAUGUACCGCAAGAAUAAGGACCGGCUAAUUCCGUGCCAGCCGCGGC